rnacentral:rRNA from 1 species
CAGCAGCCACGGUAAUACGUAGGGUGCAAGCGUUAAUCGGAAUUACUGGGCGUAAAGCGUGCGCAGGCGGUUAUAUAAGACAGAUGUGAAAUCCCCGGGCUCAACCUGGGAACUGCAUUUGUGACUGUAUAGCUAGAGUACGGCAGAGGGGGAUGGAAUUCCGCGUGUAGCAGUGAAAUGCGUAGAUAUGCGGAGGAACACCGAUGGCGAAGGCAAUCCCCUGGGCCUGUACUGACGCUCAUGCACGAAAGCGUGGGGAGCAAAUGGGAUUAGAUACCCCCGUAGUCCCUGUCUCUUAUAC